AUGACAUCAACCACCAGAAAACUGGAUCUGAAGAGAUCUGGCACCUCUUGGACAGGAAGACCCUGGGCCAGUGAGAGAAGGAACAUCCUUUUCUUUCCUUCUGGACCCCAAGUUCUCCUCCCAGACCUGGCUGCAUCUGCAAACGCUCCACUGCGAAUGGCUGUUCCACUUCUGCUCGCAAUCACUGUUUCUAGCUCUCCUGUAAUAUUCACAGAUAGUUAUGAAAAUAGAUAUACAUAUCAAUUGCACAACCAGACAAACAGAUACGCUCACGGAAUGCCUCCUAACCUUUCGUGGGGCUGCCCUCCCUUCCUCUCACUAGUGGGAUUCUUGAAAACUGUCCUCUCUGCACUAAGUUUACUCACUGGUCAGCUCCAUAAUGUGUGGCCGACUCCCUCCACUGGCCUGUAAGGAGCCAGGAGGCCACCAUGCACUUCUCAGCUUUCCUCCUGCCUCCUCUGGUCCUGAAGACCAGUCCCUUCUCUGAUGACUUUUGUGACUCUGAAACACUCCUGUCACCCUUUACCUUUGCUGGACUUUAUUUUUCUUCCCACCCCCUAAAGGUGCUCCUCACCUCCAAGUGGUGUCAUUGGGGCAAUUGCAUGCCUUCUCCCACCACACUGUGGGCUGUCCCUAUGGGCAGCUCCAAGCUCCCGGGUGCCCUCAAUCCACAGUCUAGGUACUUCACCAGAGGCUUCUACCUGGGUCACCUUCCACCUAAACCCUGCUCAUCUCCUCCCACAGGGGGAGGGGCAUGGAACGUGGGUUCUGCCCUCUAGGAGCUUAAAUUUAGUCAGAGAGACACCCGUGCCGACUCUGAAAUGUUCUGUCACAAACCCCAAGACUUAAUUAAAAUGAAAGGUGCUGAUAUAACAAGAGUCCUAUCACAUGACAAAAUGUUCAAUGAGGGAGUGGUAUUAUCAAUUCCAUUGCCCAACACUCUCUUGCUCAGGCAAGGUCUUACAGACCUUGUAGGUCUUGUAGGUCAGCAAAUUCACUAGGGAAGGGCAGAAAGGUGUGUUUAUUCCAGACAAGAGCAGAGGAGGAUAGAGCCAUUCAAAGAACAUUCUUUCAGGACAGGUGGCUCAGGGGUUGAGUGUCUGCUUUGGCUCAGGUUGUGAUACCGGGGUCCUGGGAUUGAGUCCCACGUCAGGCUUCCCCUGCAGGGAGCCUGCUUCUCCCUCUGCCUGUGUCUCUGCCUCUCUCUGUGUGUCUCUCAUGAAUAAAUUAAAAAAAGAGAAAAAAGAACA
rnacentral:lncRNA from 12 species